GAAUACAGGCAUGAGCCACCAUGCCGAGCUUCCUAACUCUUUUAAACAAUUAAAUGGCUAGACUCAUCACCAAGACAGAUCCAAAAAAAAAAAAAAAAAAAAGGAAACACAGAACACAUCCCCAGGUUCUCUUCUAUGGAGCUUUACUUUUCAGGCCAUACAAACCUGUAAUGAAGCAAAAGGACUUUCUUAUUCAUUUCAUUCCCAGGAACUAAAAUUACCAUCAGAUUCCUUCCUGAUUUAUACUCUCAUUAUAUCUAACCAAUAUUUAAGUUCAUCACAGCAACCUUUCCCGUUUGUCCUAUCUAAUCUAUAACCCCUCUCCAUGAUCAAGCCCAUCCUGUGUGCCCUUCAUAAAUCUCUUUAUAAUAUCAAUGCUGCUUGGUUUCAGCUUUCUAGCAUGAUCAAUACUUCACUUGUCACUAUCAGAAAACAUGCGGCCGGGCGCGG
rnacentral:lncRNA from 1 species